AUGGGUAUGGCUUAGUGGUAGAGCGCAUGCUUACUAUGUACAAGGUCCUGGGUUCAAUUCCCAGUACCUCUA
rnacentral:tRNA from 1 species